rnacentral:rRNA from 1 species
CCUACGGGUGGCAGCAGUGAGGAAUAUUGGUCAAUGGCCGUAAGGCUGAACCAGCCAAGUCGCGUGAAGGAAGAAGGAUCUAUGGUUUGUAAACUUCGUUUAUAGGGGAAUAAAGGUAUCCACGUGUGGAUUUUUGCAUGUACCCUAUGAAUAAGCAUCGGCUAACUCCGUGCCAUCAGCCGCGGUAAUACGGAGGAUUCGAGCGUUAUCCGGAUUUAUUGGGUUUAAAGGGUGCGUAGGUUGUGUUUUAAGUCAGCGGUGAAAGUUUGUGGCUCAACCAUAAAAUUGCCGUUGAAACUGGAAGACUUGAGUGUGUUUGAGGUAGGCGGAAUGCGUGGUGUAGCGGUGAAAUGCAUAGAUAGCACGCAGAACUCCGAUUGCGAAGGCAGCUUACUAAGCCAUAACUGACACUGAAGCACGAAAGCGUGGGGAUCAAACAGGAUUAGAUACCCGUGUAGUC